rnacentral:rRNA from 1 species
GGGGACAACAGUUGGAAACGACUGCUAAUACCGCAUGAUGCAUAGGGGUCGCAUGAUUCUUAUGCCAAAGAUUUAUCGCUUCAAGAUGGCCUCGCGUCUGAUUAGCUAGUUGGCGGGGUAACGGCCCACCAAGGCGACGAUCAGUAGCCGGACUGAGAGGUUGAACGGCCACAUUGGGACUGAGAUACGGCCCAGACUCCUACGGGAGGCAGCAGUGGGGAAUAUUGGGCAAUGGGCGCAAGCCUGACCCAGCAACGCCGCGUGAAGGAAGAAGGCUUUCGGGUUGUAAACUUCUUUUAAGAGGGAAGAGCAGAAGACGGUACCUCUAGAAUAAGCCACGGCUAACUACGUGCCAGCAGCCGCGGUAAUACGUAGGUGGCAAGCGUUGUCCGGAUUUACUGGGUGUAAAGGGCGUGCAGCCGGGUCUGCAAGUCAGAUGUGAAAUCCAUGGGCUCAACCCAUGAACUGCAUUUGAAACUGUAGAUCUUGAGUGUCGGAGGGGCAAUCGGAAUUCCUAGUGUAGCGGUGAAAUGCGUAGAUAUUAGGAGGAACACCAGUGGCGAAGGCGGAUUGCUGGACGAUAACUGACGGUGAGGCGCGAAAGUGUGGGGAGCAAACAGGAUUAGAUACCCUGGUAGUCCACACUGUAAACGAUGAAUACUAGGUGUGCGGGGACUGACCCCCUGCGUGCCGCAGUAAACACAAUAAGUAUUCCACCUGGGGAGUA